UUGCCUACGGGGGGCAGCAGUGAGGAAUAUUGGUCAAUGGGCGAGAGCCUGAACCAGCCAAGUCGCGUGAGGGAAGACGGCCCUACGGGUUGUAAACCUCUUUUGUCAGGGAGCAAGAACGGAUACGUGUAUCCAAGCGAGAGUACCUGAAGAAAAAGCAUCGGCUAACUCCGUGCCAGCAGCCGCGGUAAUACGGAGGAUGCGAGCGUUAUCCGGAUUUAUUGGGUUUAAAGGGUGCGUAGGCGGAUUUUUAAGUCAGCGGUAAAAUGUCCGGGCUCAACCCGGGCCGGCCGUUGAAACUGGGG
rnacentral:rRNA from 1 species